GAAACAAAAACUGUGGCUUUCUCCUGAUUGGAAGCACAGGAUAUGUGACCAUGCCUGGACAAAUCACCAUGGCCAAGGGAAUGCCCUGAGUUCAUUGGUUUAGGCCUGGGCUACUUGCCCGCUUAUGAGCCAAUCAACAUCAGGGAGACUCACAGUGGAGGGUGGGGCAAGCCUGGAUGGGUCGCCCACCAAAGGCUCGUGGCUGCCCCUAGUGGAGAAUGUUAAAAGUAUUAAGGAAAACCCAGAGCCUCAGCAGCUAUGUGAGCACACCGUCUUGAAAGCAAAGUGCUAAAAAGGAAAUGAAUCUUCAGCAAGAAUCGAGGCUAAGUAUUUCAUCAUUUUUACAUGUCAUCCACGACGUGACCUACACAAAUUUCUGCCAAGAAUAAUAUUAUCUGAGGAAUAGUGUAAGACCUUGACCAUCAAGAAAGAUCAUUGUUGAAAAGUGAUUUUUAAUUACUCCUUACUGGGGAAAAUUGAGCUCAAGUCACUAAGGUGAUCUCACAAUGUCAGCCAAUUAAAUAAAACCAUUCAUAUUUAAUUA